rnacentral:rRNA from 1 species
AUGGCGACAAAAGGACAGCUUGUUAGAGAAAGGAAUGUGAAGAUCACAUCAAGCCGUGAAGGUCGUCAAAGGGGUAAUUCACACUCAGAUCAAUUAGUGCAAGUUCCGAAGCAGAAGGACUCGGCAGCCAGUGGAAACAUUGAUGGAAAAUUUGAAGAUAGAAUCAGAGUUGUGAAGAAUGACAAGAUUCGUAGGCAGCGAGAACCUCGAAAUGCAGAAGGGGAUGUAGGCUUGAAGAGCUCAAAACCAUGGCCUGCACGAAAAGCAACUACUGUUGAUGAACUUGUCAAGCAUAUGUCCAAAGUUCCUUCAUAUUUACAGCGCAAAGAGACGGCUGACCAUCUUCAGGACAAGGCACUGAAUGUUGGGGUUCUUGAGUGGGGCCUUCUCGCAAGGUGGUCUCAUGAGCAAAAACAUGAGCCCUGUAGCAGCCAUGGAGCCUCUUCAUCUGAUACCAGCAGAUCUGUUCUAUUCUCUUCUCCAUCUCAUUCUUCUGCAAGCCCCAGCAGCAAAUCUCUUGAUAGCAAUCAGUCUCCACUGAAUGACCACCAGCGUUGUUUUAUGAAGUCUCAGCAAAGCAGUCGUGUGGACAAACACCAUGAGAAGGCCAAUUCACCUAGCCCAAAUUCCGCAGUGUUGAGCUUGUUGCCAGGGCAUGGCAAGCACCUUCGUGCAGAGAACAAUGGUAACAGUGGUGGCUUAAAUUUCAGCGAGUUUUCUCCCCCCGCAGACUCUCUGAUUGCUGCCUCUGGGAGUUGCACGCCGCAUGAUAUGGUUGAUGAAGAUACUACAAGGAAGAUAGAGGAGGCUGUUCAUCACUGUUCACGCAGGCUUUUUACAGAUGAUGAUAACACCGGGAGAAGUUUCUUCACACCCAAUGACGAUGAUUCCAUGUGUGUUGACCCUCUGCAGAGCAAUGGCAUCAGUGGUCUAAUACCUAGCGCUGUGCUGGAAACAGAAAGAAAUGGCAGCACGUCACCUGUUGGUUUCUUGGAGGAUAUUGGCCAAUCCCCUGAAUUUCCUCGUAUUCCAUAUUCAUGUCCACUCCCCAUCAUGGAUUCCACUGAAGAGCUUGGCACCAGUAGCUCUGCAACUAGAGAUACUUUUGUUUGUGCAGCUGUAACAAAAGGUGAAAACGGUAACAGACACAAAUCUCCUGUUAGUGUCUGCAAGAAACCCCUCAUGAUUAGCUCAAAGUUCACUGAUAUGGAUGUGCUGCCUGAUCGCCACCUUGUUUCUGGGCUGAAUGGAGUGAACAGAUGCUCUAGCCUGAAGGAAGCACCAUCUCCUCGACGGCCUGACACCUCUGUGGAUAAGAUUAAUGAGGACAAGCGAUCAAACAGCAGAGGUAGGCGCAGCCCAUUAAGGAGGAUGUUAGAUCCACUAUUAAAACCUAGGCAAUCAUCCACUUCUGUUGCGCCAACUCAACCUUCAUUUGUUCCAAAGUGUCAUCUGUCAACCAAUAUUAAUAAGCAAUCUCUUAACUUGGAAGGGUCCGGGUCACAAAAUGUGCAGCGUAGGUCAGUUGAUGCAGUAGUCAAUUCAAAUAACCAUGCUGAAGCAAACAUAAAUCAGCCUCCUCGUGUGCUGUUGAACAGUGAGAGGUACCUCAACCAAGAAAGGGAUUCAACAACAACAAGGCAAGCGCUUCUUCAGCUAGCAUGGAAAAACGGCCUACCUUUAUUCAUGCUUUCUUAUGGUGAUUCUGAUAUCCUGGCGGCCACUGUGAGAAGGAAGGGCAUCUCUGAUAAGGAUGAUCUGGAAAGUGCAUACACUUUAUUCACUGUUGAAGAGCCCAAGAAAAAGAGUGGAGCUUGGAUCACAGCAGGUAAUAAGAACAAGAAACAUCAGUUGGUAUCCAGUAUUGUUGGGGAAAUGAGGAUCUCACGACGAAAAUCGAGAUGCUGCCAUGCAAAAGAUUUUCAUGUGCACAGGGAAUUUGUGCUGGUUGGUUCUGAACUGCUACCAACACCUGAGGAACCUGGUGAUUCACACAUUAGCAGGGAAAUUGGGGCUUUUAUCAGCGCAGUUCCUCAAACAGUAGAAAGUCCUCAUCAAUCAUCUUCACAGAAUUCUAGCCGAGAUAGUUCAGCACCAAUUGGCUGCUCUUGCCCUCCUCUGGGAAACAUCUACCGUAACAUGACAAAUGCUAGUUCAGCUCCAGCCAGUGUUAUUGCCAUACUACCGAACGGCUUCCACGGCGCAUCAACUUCUGGACAGCCUUUACCUCUGAUGGAGAGGUGGAGAUCCAGAGGAUCAUGUGACUGUGGUGGGUGGGAUGAAGGUUGCACGCUGAGUGUCCUCACCGACAACACCCAAGGAAACCAAGGAUGCAAGUCUAUUCAGGUGAACCAAACGCAGGAUGGCAGCCAUCGAUUCGACUUGCUCUCUCAGGGUCGAUCACGGGAGGAUCGUCAUGCCUUCAGUAUGGUUUCGUUUAAAGAAGGGUUAUAUGCAGUCGAAUUCAGAUCAUCCAUUGCUUUACUUCAGGCCUUCGCUAUGUGUAUAGUGAUGCUUCAUGGGAGGAGCCCUGUGAGGACGCAGGCCGAUUUGCCAACCUCGCAAGACGAUGCAGUCUUUGCCGAUCAUAAGCUGAAGGCUAUGGCAGCAGCCGGCCAAGGUAGAGCUCCGGCCAGCUAUGUGCCGCGUCAGCCACCUCUAUCUCCCGUAGGGCGAGCCUAG